rnacentral:lncRNA from 10 species
ACAGCCACCAGGCACCUCCAACAACCAGGUGUGAGUAAUUUUUUUUUUUUUUUGAGACAGGGUCCUAUCUGUCGCCCAGGCUGGAGUGCAGCAGUGCAAUCACAGCUCACUGCAGCCUUGAUGUCCUGGGCUCAAGUGAUCAGCCUCCCGAAGUGCUGGGAUUACGGCGUGAGCCACCACUCCCAGCCUUCGAGUGCUUUUGAGGAUGUCUGUGAGAGGCAUCCUCAGGCUGGGGACCCAGGAAUAUCCCAGGUAAGGCAUGGGGUCUCCUAAAGCAGGGAUCCAGUCAGCAGCAGAAACACUCAUCUCUGCAGGCCUCCUCACCCCACCGGCCUGCCCCUGCCCUACUCUGUCCCCCCCAUGCCCACGGCAGACAGGCAGUGGGCAAGCAGGAGGGCCUCAGGGCAGGUCAGACCUGGGCCUACAGGGCAGAGCCUGGACCUCCGCCAGGGCACUCCACACCCACCCCGGCCCUCUGGACCCCGAGGUUGGACCCUACUGUGACACACCUACCAUGCGGACACUCUUCAACCUCCUCUGGCUUGCCCUGGCCUGCAGCCCUGUUCACACUACCCUGUCAAAGUCAGAUGCCAA